rnacentral:rRNA from 1 species
CACUAGUGAUUGUGAAUUGCAGAACUCCGUGAAUCAUCGAAUCUUUGAACGCAAAUGGCGCUCUUGGUUAUACCGGGAGCAUGUCUGUCUGAGUGUUGGUUAAAAAAAUUGAGCGCACACCUGCGCCCUACUGGGGCGUCGCGUAUCAAUUCGUAUACGCGUCCCUCGAAGUACAGCUCGUUCAACGCUGUGCGAACAAGGCCUAACGAAUUCUUGCCCUUGCCAGCACAGCACAUGUUUGGUCGUGUCAUUUACCAAUUAACCUCAGAUCAGGCAAGAUUACCCGCUGAAUUUAAGCAUAUAAGUAAGCGGAGG